rnacentral:rRNA from 1 species
UUUUCGUAGGUGAACCUGCGAAAGGAUCAUUAUCGGCACAUCCCAACACUGUUGUCCUGAAGGCGUCAGCCCUCUCCUCGGAGCGGCGGCGACGCCGGAGUCUCGAAAGCAUGCGUGGUGGACGGCUCGGUUCCCGCGUCGAUGAAGGACGUAGCGAGAUACGAAAGGUGUUGCGAAUUGCAAGAUUUCGCGAGUCAAUGACCAUCCGAAUGCAUCGCCGCCCUCCCCUCGCCCUCGGGCGGAGGGAGGACGCGUCGGCGACAUCGCCCUGCGAGAGCGCUCUCCCCCCAUUCGCGGAGAGGCCGCAGUGGACGAGGCACCCGACCGAUUGUCGGCGUGCACGUGACAGCGCUGCCCGCCGUCGCCGCUCGGUCGAAGGACCCGCGGCGGCAGGCGAACGAUUGCGAACUGCUGCGAUGUCGUCGGCGAGGAAACCCGCUGAACUUAAGCAUAUCAUUAAGCGG